rnacentral:rRNA from 1 species
AUUGAACGCUGGCGGCAGGCCUAACACAUGCAAGUCGAACGAGUGGCGGACGGGUGAGUACUGUCUGGGAAACUGCCCGAUGGAGGGGGAUAACUACUGGAAACGGUAGCUAAUACCGCAUACCAUCUGAUGUGCCCAGAUGGGCUUAGCUAGUAGGUGGGGUAAGGGCUCACCUAGGCGACGAUCCGUAGCUGGUCUGAGAGGAUGACCAGCCACACUGGAACUGAGACACGGUCCAGACGCCGACGGGAGGCAGCAGUGGGGAAUAUUGCACAAUGGGGGCAAGCCUGAUGCAGCCAUGCCGGGUGUAUGAAGAAGGCCUUCGGGUUGUAAAGUACUUUCGGCGGGGAAGCGGUACCUGCAGAAUAAGCACCGGCUAACUCCGUGCCAGCAGCCGCGGUAAUAC